rnacentral:rRNA from 1 species
GUGGGGAAUCUUGCGCAAUGGGCGAAAGCCUGACGCAGCAACGCCGCGUGUGUGAUGAAGGUCUUCGGAUCGUAAAGCACUGUCGCGAGGGACGAAUAAGGGGCGGGCGAACAGUCCGCAACGAUGACGGUACCUCGAGAGGAAGCACCGGCUAACUCUGUGCCAGCAGCCGCGGUAAUACAGAGGGUGCGAGCGUUGUUCGGAAUUAUUGGGCGUAAAGCGCGUGUAGGCGGCCUAGCAAGUCGGAUGUGAAAGCCCUCGGCUUAACCGAGGAAGUGCGUUCGAAACUACUGGGCUUGAGUACCGGAGAGGGUGGCGGAAUUCCCGGUGUAGAGGUGAAAUUCGUAGAUAUCGGGAGGAACACCAGUGGCGAAGGCGGCCACCUGGACGGAUACUGACGCUGAGACGCGAAAGCGUGGGUAGCAAACAGG